rnacentral:lncRNA from 1 species
GGGCCUGGCUCUAAGUCUGAGGAAACACACUCUCUCUCGAACUUGAACUUGCCAGAGAGAACUCAGGCACUGACUGUGACGACGCGGGUGGGGAGAGACUGUGCACCUACACGUGUCACUUCACAAAGGCCUCCAGGGGCUUAUGAUCAGGCAAAGGAGACACCAGGAAAGAGGAGCAGAGUGGCUAGGGCAGUGCACUGCAGAUGCAUGGACGAAAGCUCGCAGCGACACAGGUAUGGGGUGUCUAAUCAGGGAUGAGUGUGAGCAGCAGAAUGAGGAGCAUGCUUUCCCAGAGGAAGAGAGGAAGCCACUGGAGAGAUGAAGGAUGCCAUGGACAGGAGGUGGUGUCUCUGGAGCCGCCGAGCAGCAGCCUCAUUGCUCAGAAGAUGAAGAUGCUGACGAAGACCCAGACAGGAAAAAAGGAAGAAAAAGCAUCCUGAUUGUUCCAUUAGCAAAGCCACAGUCCCGGAGAGCAAGGGGAGGGGCACAGCAGGCAGCCGCACCCAUGGGAUGCAUCUGCAGCUUGUGAGCAAUGCAUGAAAGAUGAAUCACACAGCAGCAAUGCCUUCAGCUUCCGUGUGCUAUGGCUCACUCAGCACCAGCUCUGCAGGCUGCCUAAGCCAGAAGUCAGUCUCUGCCUUUAGACUUGCUCACUUCUUUUAGGAACGGAGAUAUCCUCUGAUCCCUUGUCCUACAACCUCGAUUAAUAUCUUUCCAACAGCCAUCUGCCAAACUCAAGAAGACCCUGGAACAACCUAAUUGGAAAAGUUUCCAUCUUAUCCCUUGGAAAACUAUAGAAAAGUAGUGUCACACAAAUGUUUAAUUUCUGAUUUCUACAAUUUCAGAUACCAGAGUUUAUCUGUUACCAUGACAACUAACAGCUUUAUAAAUGUUUUCUAGCCUCUGCUAUUUUCUGGAACUUAUCUACAUUUCAGUAUUUGCUUAAUAAUUUUGAGCUGACACUAGCAACAUAAUUGUGUCUGGAUUGUGUAUGUGUAUGUCUUGUGUGUGUUGGCAGGGGGUGGGUAUAACCUAUGUCAGUGUUUUUCAAUGUGAGCAAAUUUUAAUAAACUUUUAUAUUUAAUGUGAACAUUAA